CGCAGUAGGAUAGGCGAAGCGUGCGAUUGGAUUGCACGUCUAAGCAGUAAGGCUGAGUAUUAGGCAAAUCCGGUACUCAUUAAGGCUGAGCUGUGAUGGGGAGAAGACAUUGUGUCUUCGAGUCGUUGAUUUCACACUGCCGAGAAAAGCCUCUAGAUAGAAAAUAGGUGCCCGUACCGCAAACCGACACAGGUAGUCAAGAUGAGAAUUCUAAGGUGAGCGAGCGAACUCUCGUUAAGGAACUCGGCAAAAUGACCCCGUAACUUCGGGAGAAGGGGUGCUCUUUAGGGUUAACGCCCAGAAGAGCCGCAGUGAAUAGGCCCAAGCGACUGUUUAUCAAAAACACAGGUCUCUGCUAAACCGUAAGGUGAUGUAUAGGGGCUGACGCCUGCCCGGUGCUGGAAGGUUAAGAGGAGUGGUUAGCUUCUGCGAAGCUACGAAUCGAAGCCCCAGUAAACGGCGGCCGUAACUAUAACGGUCCUAAGGUAGCGAAAUUCCUUGUCGGGUAAGUUCCGACCCGCACGAAAGGCGUAACGAUUUGGGCACUGUCUCAACGAGAGACUCGGUGAAAUCAUAGUACCUGUGAAGAUGCAGGUUACCCGCGACAGGACGGAAAGACCCCGUGGAGCUUUACUGUAGCCUGAUAUUGAAAUUCGGCACAGCUUGUACAGGAUAGGUAGGAGCCUUUGAAACGUGAGCGCUAGCUUACGUGGAGGCGCUGGUGGGAUACUACCCUAGCUGUGUUGGCUUUCUAACCCGCACCACUUAUCGUGGUGGGAGACAGUGUCAGGCGGGCAGUUUGACUGGGGCGGUCGCCUCCUAAAAGGUAACGGAGGCGCUCAAAGGUUCCCUCAGAAUGGUUGGAAAUCAUUCAUAGAGUGUAAAGGCAUAAGGGAGCUUGACUGCGAGACCUACAAGUCGAGCAGGGUCGAAAGACGGACUUAGUGAUCCGGUGGUUCCGCAUGGAAGGGCCAUCGCUCAACGGAUAAAAGCUACCCCGGGGAUAACAGGCUUAUCUCCCCCAAGAGUUCACAUCGACGGGGAGGUUUGGCACCUCGAUGUCGGCUCAUCGCAUCCUGGGGCUGUAGUCGGUCCCAAGGGUUGGGCUGUUCGCCCAUUAAAGCGGUACGCGAGCUGGGUUCAGAACGUCGUGAGACAGUUCGGUCCCUAUCCGUCGUGGGCGUAGGAAAUUUGAGAGGAGCUGUCCUUAGUACGAGAGGACCGGGAUGGACAUACCUCUGGUGUACCAGUUGUCGUGCCAACGGCAUAGCUGGGUAGCUAUGUGUGGACGGGAUAAGUGCUGAAAGCAUCUAAGCAUGAAGCCUCCCUCAAGAUGAGAUUUCCCAACUUCGGUUAUAAGAUCCCUCAAAGAUGAUGAGGUUAAUAGGUUCGAGGUGGAAGCAUGGUGACAUGUGGAGCUGACGAAUACUAAUCGAUCGAAGACUUAAUCAA
rnacentral:rRNA from 1 species